GGUUUAUAGCUCAGUGGCAGAGCAUCUGCUUUGCAUGCAGAAUGUGUCAGGUUCAAUCCCUGGCAUCUCCA